rnacentral:rRNA from 1 species
GCCGUACCAUGCUGAAUAUACCGGUUCUCGUUAGAUCACCGAAGUCAAGCAUCAUUGGGCGCGGUCGGUACUUGGGUGGGGGACCACCUGGGAACACUGCGUGCCGUU